rnacentral:rRNA from 1 species
AAUCCAUAGGUUAAUGAGGCGAACCGGGGGAACUGAAACAUCUAAGUACCCCGAGGAAAAGAAAUCAACCGAGAUUCCCCCAGUAGCGGCGAGCGAACGGGGAGGAGCCCAGAGCCUGAAUCAGCAUGUGUGUUAGUGGAAGCGUCUGGAAAGGCGCGCGAUACAGGGUGACAGCCCCGUACACAAAAGCGCAUGUGCUGUGAGCUCGAUGAGUAGGGCGGGACACGUGGUAUCCUGUCUGAAUAUGGGGGGACCAUCCUCCAAGGCUAAAUACUCCUGACUGACCGAUAGUGAACCAGUACCGUGAGGGAAAGGCGAAAAGAACCCCGGCGAGGGGAGUGAAAAAGAACCUGAAACCGUGUACGUACAAGCAGUGGGAGCACCCUUCGGGGUGUGACUGCGUACCUUUUGUAUAAUGGGUCAGCGACUUAUAUUCUGUAGCAAGGUUAACCGUAUAGGGGAGCCGCAGGGAAACCGAGUCUUAAUUGGGCGUUAAGUUGCAGGGUAUAGACCCGAAACCCGGUGAUCUAGCCAUGGG